rnacentral:lncRNA from 1 species
GUAAGUACCAAUAAUCCCAUGAGCACAAUAUCACAUACGUAAAUAAAUUGAAAACUUGUGUACGAUGGUUAAUGUUAAUUUUUGUGAAACAUUUUUUGUAACAGGGCAAAUACCAUGGAUCAUAUGACUUCAUAUUUGUGGACGCUGACAAAGACAAUUACUUGAACUAUCACAAGAGAUUAAUCGACUUGGUCAAAGUUGGGGGACUAAUUGGAUAUGACAACACCCUAUGGAAUGGAUCAGUGGUUGCACCACCAGAUGCACCCCUUAGGAAAUAUGUUAGGUAUUAUAGGGAUUUCGUAUUGGAACUCAACAAGGCUUUGGCUGCUGAUUCAAGAAUUGAAAUCUGUCAGCUUCCCGUUGGCGAUGGCAUCACCCUUUGCCGACGCAUUAGUUAAAUAAACAGAACUAUUGUCCAUUUGUGGCAACCAAGAAUGCUAGCUCAUGGCAAUGGAGGAUUUAUUAUUUUUGGAAUUCCCCUGUUCUGUAUCAUUCGUUAUUCAACCUUUUUUUGUUAUUUCUCUUUUCUAUUGAAGGUUGCAUUGUCUAUGUUACCUCUUGUUUAUUUCCUAAUGUAUUUUUAUAAAUAAAAUAAAAAUCAAGUUCAAAGACUGAAUGUCCAAAAUGUCACAGGUCAGUGGAGCUAGUGGAGAAAUCUGUUAUGUCACACCCAUCACCAAACACGUGCGAAAUGCAGUUUCGAACCAAAAAGAAAAGGUUUGAAAGUUUCAACAAGUAAAAGUCGUUCAUCCCCAAACUAAUACUAGUAGUAGACUACUAGUAUUGACUAGCUAGAUGCAUCUCUCGAUGGCUACCAAACACCACGCGAUAGAAAACGCCUCGUACUCAUUUGAUGCAUUCGUGCAGAUUUUAGGGCGAUUUUGGGUGAUUGGAACAUCCAAAAAAAGAAAGAAAAAAAACAGCUUCCAAACCUAAAAACAUUGGAUCAAAUUAAUUUCUAAAGGGGACUAUUGUUCUAUUUUUGGGCCAAUGCACUAAAAUCAACCAAAUUCUCAAGGGAGGUUUGCACAAAUAGGAUCAUAUCACGCUGCUAUUUAGCUUUUGUCUAUGUUUAAGUAUUGCGAGAGUAGGUUGGCGGGGCAUAACUCGGCAUAACUUUAAGCAAGUUAUAUCCCGACCCGGCUUAUUAAAUUUUUGAAAAAUAUUGGAUUCUAAUUUUUUGGCCAGGGUGGGGAGGGAUCGGAUAGCCUACUUCAGAUUCUCCCGCCACCGGAGGUCGGAAUUUUGCCACCAUCCGAACAUUAGAAUUCAAGUUCAGAGUUGAGUCAUGCAAAUGAAAUCUGGCGUUCUAGUACGGAAAUCUUAUCACGUUUUCUCUACAACAAAAAUCUAUAUGCCUAAACUGGACGACUUUAUGUUGCUUCAUCCCAAUUACAUCUGACAGACUCCCGUUGGAGAAACUAAUUACACCAUAUAUUUAAAGCAAUUAAGCAAAUUACAUUUGGCAAUGUGAUAGUUGUCUUCAACAGAUCUUUUCCAACUACUUGAUUUUGACAUCGUUAGGGAGUUUGGCUAAUAUCAUACAAUGGAGGGUAUUGGAGCAAGCUAAACUCACCGGAAGCAUUAUUCCGUCCACAAAGCUCCUCGCCGGAUUUAACCUCGCAAAUGUGAUAACUCAGGGAGAAAUUUUAUUACUCAUAAAUACGGAAGGAGUAAUGAAAACAACUUUUUUCGAAGUGGUAGAUAGUGAUAUGAGAUACAACAUCAUCCUGGGAAGGUCAUGGUUGUACGAGAUGAAAGUUGUACCAUCAAUUUCGGUCUCCAGUAGCAAAGGAAAGGAACACAUGGCAUAGCAAUUACAGGGAUCGGCACCUACUCUUGAACUAGAUGUAGUUAUCCAGGCGUCGAAAAAUUAUUAGGUGACGAGAUAUUUCCAAGUUCCAGAAGAGACCGAUGCAACGAAGUCUACAUCGGAAGAACUGGAGCAAGUCGCAUUGUUCGAAGAAUCCCUCGAAAGGAAAUUCCACUUGGGGACAGGACUGCAUCCAAAACUCAGGUCCGAUUUCAUUAUAUUCCUUAAAUCUAACGUCGAUUGUUUUGCAUGGUCGCAUGAAGAUAUUACAGGAAUCCCGACAGAGGUAGUCGUACACAAGUUAAGGUUGGAUCCUAACAUACCUCCGGUAAGACAAAAGAAGCGCCCGAUCGCUGAAGCUAGGAAUAAAUUUGUCAAAGAAGAGGUAACCCGCUUAUUUAAUAUCGUUUCGAUCCGAGAGGUAAGAUAUUCGGACUAGCUAGCUAAUGUAGUAGCAGUUCCUAAGAAAAACAAUAAGUUUUGCAUGUGUUUAUAUUAUAAAGAUCUUAACAACGCGUGCCCGAAAGACUCGUUCCCACUACCAAACAUCAAUCAAAUGAUUGAUGCUACGUCCGGGCACGAAUUAAUGAGUUUCUUCGAUGCUUAUUUCGAGUACAACCAAAUUAAGAUAAACCCAAAAGAUCAGGAAAAAACUUCAUUUAUAAUAAAUAUCAGUAUAUAUUGUUACAAUGUGAUACCCUUUGGGUUGAAAAACACCGGAGCCACUUAUCAGCGACUCGUGAACAAGAUGUUUGAAAAUUAAAUAGUAAAAACUAUGGAAGUUUAUAUAGAUAAUAUGCUCGUUAAGUCUUCAAAUGCAGGUGGUCAUCUUAAACAUUUGCAAGAAACUUUCGACAUCCUAAGGAAGCAUAAUAUGAAACUUAAUCCCAAGAAAUGCGCGUUCGGGGUCAGCUCUGGUAAGCUACGGAGAUUUCUGGCAUCCCAAAGGGGGAUUGAGGUAAACCCCGAUAAGAUCAAAGCCAUAGAAGAUAUCCCGGACAAACUAUCAAACAUGAAGGAAGUCCAAAGUCUUACGUGGAGAUUGGCAGCUUUGAGCAGAUUCAUUUUCCGGUCGUCAAAAAAGUGUCAUCAUUUCUUCGCACUGCUCAAAAAUAAAAAAAAGUUUCGAAUGAACCCUGGAGUGCCAGCAAGCUUUGAUGGAUUUAAAGAAGUAUUUGUCAAGCCCUCCAUUGCUUUCAAAAUCAAAAGAAGGGGGAAACGUUGCUAGUUUACCUCGCGGUCUCGAAAGUUACGGUAAGUGCAGUUUUAGUCCAAGAGAAUGAAGGUACGCAAUCUCUUAGUGACAGAAAAUUACCAUCAGAAACCAUUAAUCUAUUAAAGACCACUCUCUCUAAUUAAUUUGAUAUGACACUUUUCUUUUUCAGUCAAUUUAAAAAAGUAUGACCGUAUUUUUAUAUUUAAAACUCUUCAAUUUCAAAAUUUUUAUUUUAAUGAUAUGAUAUAUUUAAGAUCACAAAUUAUAAAUAUACUUUUGGUGUGUUUAAAAAAAAUCUUUGUUUUUAAAAUCUCAUGCCUAAUUAAACACCACUGUAUGAAUAAAAUAGAGGAGUAACAUUUUGUUAUUUGCGCAUUCAUGAUUUCUAAUAUUGAACCAUUUCAUUUACACUCUUUAUCUCAAAUUAUUUGUUUUGUAUCACUGUAAGAGCCAAGUUGACCAGUGUAAGAAUAAGAUUACUCAUAGAGUUUCGUUGUCUAAAAAUAAUACUUAAGUUCUGAGAAAUUUAGAGAAAUACGACAUAUAAGUUUGAAUUUCUCAGCAGCAAUAUAAAUUUAAAAAAAAAAUUAUUAGCAACCUUUAAUAAAUGUUUUUUACAAAAUAUUCUUCAGUACUCAAACAAACGCCAACAAACUUAAGAAAAAGUAAAAUAAUUAUAUGCCUCUCGCCCAUUAUUUGUAAGACAUAUUAUUUGUUAACGUAAAAUUUGUUAAUAUCCAAAUAAUCAGGUGUCAUGCGCAAACUAGUAAAGCAAACCUUAAACAACGAUAAAUCAGACAACAAAAGAGAAAUAUAUCAAAAGAGACACAAACAUUUAGCGUGGUUCGUUCAAUUGACCUACAUCUACGGGUGGAGAUGAGCAAUUCACUAUAUAAAAUAGAGCACAAAAAUAUCGAGAGAACAACUUCACAAAAAGGCAAACACAAGUGACAUACUAACACUUGUUUCGAAAAAUUCUUCUCUUAAACAAGACUCUCAAACCUCGUAUGAUUACAUUGUGGAAGCUGAUGAAUGAAAAAAAAUAAUCCUCAAUUUAUAAAAGUCCAAACUUUUUCCUCCAAAAAAAUGGAUUAGUCAAAUAUGAGAGAUUUAUAAUCUCCUUCUAGAAGAGAAAAAAAUCAAUUCCUUCAAAGAAUUGAAAAAUCAACUAUGAUAAAAAAAUCAAGACAAACACCUAACUAUAUUACCAGUUUUAAGUCAACAAACAUUAGGAAAAAAAAAGUAAAAUAACGCUUUUAAAAGAAAAUUUCUGCGAUGCGUUGUCCACUUGACGUGGUCUCUUCAAUAAAGAAUACUCUUCUUUCUGAAUUCGUCAAGGAAAGUAGCCCAUAAGUUAUAUACUGAAAUUUGAAACUAGGAAAGUACGAGCCGGUGGUGGGUAAAUUAUUAGGUAAUGCAUUUGAAGUCAAAAUUGGAGUUGGUCGUUUGUCUGUAUUGUCCCAUAUAUGACUUGUGAGCAAGAACGAAACUCACCAACUUUUUUUACCCAAAAAAAAAAAAAAACACUCAACAACUUUCAAUCAUUUUCAGCCAACCAACCCCUCCACUCUUUAUCAUGCAUGUCUCGCUUGUUUUUCUACUCCUAUAAAUUAAGCCAUUUUCAUUUCUCCAAAAGCAGGUUGCUAACUUAGACUUAUCUACUUUCAAAGAUAGUUACUAAUAUAUCCACUUCAACACCAACGAAAGAACAAGCAGCAAUGGCAACCAAUGGAGAAAAUGGAAGACAUCAAGAAGUUGGACACAAGAGUCUUUUGCAAAGUGAUGCCCUUUACCAGGUAACCAAAUUACAUGCAAAUGAAACAACAUAUAUACCCCUUUUUAUCCAUAUUGUCAUACAAGAAAUUAAUUCCCUUUUGUGCAAAACUUUUAUGGAAAAGUUGAUUUUUUGUUUUUUUACUUCAACAGUACAUUCUUGAAACAAGCGUGUAUCCAAGAGAGCCUGAACCCAUGAAAGAGCUAAGAGAGAUUACUGCAAAACACCCCUGGUAACUUUCUCCUGGUUUACUUUUAACUUUAGUUCAUGCAAAUUGAAUACUCAAUUGUGGUAACUUUCUAGCUGGAUUUAAGUAUUAAUAUCAUUCAAUUAAAUAAUAACAGGAACAUCAUGACCACCUCUGCUGAUGAAGGGCAAUUUUUGAGCAUGCUUCUUAAACUCAUCAAUGCCAAAAACACAAUGGAGAUUGGUGUUUUUACUGGUUACUCUCUUCUUGCUACUGCCAUGGCUCUUCCUGAUGAUGGCAAGGUAAUUAAUUUUUACCAACUACUUCUCGUAGAUGAUAAUCCAACAUAUAAACUUAUACUAAUUUGUAUAAAUUGCUUCAGAUUUUAGCCAUGGAUAUCAACCGGGACAACUACGAGAUUGGUCUUCCAGUAAUUGAAAAGGCUGGACUAGCUCACAAAAUUGAAUUCAAAGAAGGCCCUGCACUUCCCGUUCUUGAUCAAAUGAUUGAAGACGUAAGUACCAAAAUACCAAAUGAAUAAAUUGGAAACUUGUCUAUAAUAGUUAAAAUUAAUGUUUGUUUAUCAUUUUCUGUAACAGGGCAAAUACCAUGGAUCAUAUGACUUCAUAUUUGUGGACGCUGACAAAGACAAUUACUUGAACUAUCACAAGAGAUUAAUCGACUUGGUCAAAGUUGGGGGACUAAUUGGAUAUGACAACACCCUAUGGAAUGGAUCAGUGGUUGCACCACCAGAUGCACC